GACGAACGCUGGCGGCGUGCUUAACACAUGCAAGUCGAACGAGAAUCUGCGGAAAGAGGAUUCGUCCAAUUGAAGCAGAGGACAGUGGCGGACGGGUGAGUAACGCGUGAGGAACCUGCCUUUCAGAGGGGGACAACAGUUGGAAACGACUGCUAAUACCGCAUGACACAUCGGAGUCGCAUGGCUCUGAUGUCAAAGAUUUAUCGCUGAAAGAUGGCCUCGCGUCUGAUUAGCUAGUUGGUGAGGUAACGGCCCACCAAGGCGACGAUCAGUAGCCGGACUGAGAGGUUGACCGGCCACAUUGGGACUGAGAUACGGCCCAGACUCCUACGGGAGGCAGCAGUGGGGAAUAUUGGGGCAAUGGGCGCAAGCCUGACCCAGCAACGCCGCGUGAAGGAGAAGGCUUUCGGGUUGUAAACUUCUUUUGUCAGGAAGAGCAGAAGACGGUACCUGACGAAUAAGGCCACGGCUAACUACGUGCCAGCAG
rnacentral:rRNA from 1 species